rnacentral:misc_RNA from 1 species
AUGUACAAUUCUUGAAAUGGCAACUUCAAAGCCACCUUGGAGCCAGUAUGAAGGGGUUGCCGCCAUAUUUAAAAUUGGAAACAGCAAAGACUUUCCUGAAAUUCCAGAACACCUUUCUAAUGAUGCAAAAAGCUUUAUAAGGUCAUGCUUGCAGCGGGAGCCGUCCCUACGACCUACAGCUUCUAAACUACUAGAGCACCCUUUUGUUAAAAACCAAAGUACAGCAAAAGUUGCUCAUGUCGGUGUAACCAAAGAAUCAUAUCUUCGUUCCUUUGAUGGAAGCCGGACACCGCCAGUGUUGGAGCUCCAUCCUGGUGGAAGAACUAUUUCUCCGGGAAGGAAUAUUUCCCCCGCUGAAGGAAACUAUGCAUCCCAUCCGGUGAUCACAGUCUCUAGACCAUUGAUCUGCGCAAGGGAAAAUGUAAAAGCCAUAACAUCUUUACCGGUAUCCCCCACAUCUAGCCCAUUAAGACAGUAUGAACCUGCCCGUAAAAGCUGUUAUCUUUCUCCUCCUCACUCAUCUUAUGGCAUCGGGGGCCAGAGUGGAUACGAGGCAAAUGAUUACUCAAUGUUUCAAACAAGGCCCAGCACAAGAAUCACACUUGAGCCAUGGCUCGAAAUCCCUCACUUUAGAACUCAGACGCCAUCUAGAUCCCCCAAAACAAGACCCAUUCUUUAGUAACAUGUGAUGUAUGAGGUGAAAGUUUUCUUUACUUGCAUUGCACCACGCGUGGUCGGUCCCCUUCUAGGAAAUGAAUUGCAGAAACUAUGUCUCCUUCUAAGCUAUUCGUUUCUGUUUGAUGUGUUCAUUAUCAUCAAGAGAAAUUUUGGGUGACCUGGGGUUUUUGGUUGCAUGAUGAAGGGAAUUGCAUUUUCUUGAAUAUAAGAUCUGUAAAAUGUACUUCAUUCUCAAUGUAAAUGCAAGAUUGAUCACUUGAUUAAAUUGUUUCAUAGCGCUCUUAUAGU